rnacentral:rRNA from 1 species
UACAGAGGUCCCAAGCGUUGUUCGGAUUCACUGGGCGUAAAGGGUGCGUAGGUGGUUAGGUAAGUCUGAUGUGAAAUCUCUGGGCUCAACCCAGAAACUGCAUUGGAUACUAUCUAGCUAGAGGGGUGGAGGGGGGACUGGAAUACUUGGUGUAGCAGUGAAAUGCGUAGAUAUCAAGUGGAACACCAGUGGCGAAGGCGAGUCCCUGGACACUUCCUGACACUGAGGCACGAAAGCUAGGGGAGCAAACAGG